rnacentral:rRNA from 1 species
AGUCGAACGGCAGCGCGGGGCAACCUGGCGGCGAGUGGCGAACGGGUGAGUAAUAUAUCGGAACGUACCCUGGAGUGGGGGAUAACGUAGCGAAAGUUACGCUAAUACCGCAUACGAUCUAAGGAUGAAAGUGGGGGAUCGCAAGACCUCAUGCUCCUGGAGCGGCCGAUAUCUGAUUAGCUAGUUGGUGGGGUAAAGGCUCACCAAGGCUUCGAUCAGUAGCUGGUCUGAGAGGACGACCAGCCACACUGGAACUGAGACACGGUCCAGACUCCUACGGGAGGCAGCAGUGGGGAAUUUUGGACAAUGGGCGCAAGCCUGAUCCAGCAAUGCCGCGUGAGUGAAGAAGGCCUUCGGGUUGUAAAGCUCUUUUGUCAGGGAAGAAACGGUGAAGGCUAAUAUCCUUUGCUAAUGACGGUACCUGAAGAAUAAGCACCGGCUAACUACGUGCCAGCAGCCGCGGUAAUACGUAGGGUGCAAGCGUUAAUCGGAAUUACUGGGCGUAAAGCGUGCGCAGGCGGUUUUGUAAGUUUGUCGUGAAAGCCCCGGGCUCAACCUGGGAAUUGCGAUGAAGACUGCAAGGCUUGAAUCUGGCAGAGGGGGGUAGAAUUCCACGUGUAGCAGUGAAAUGCGUAGAGAUGUGGAGGAACACCGAUGGCGAAGGCAGCCCCCUGGGUCAAGAUUGACGCUCAUGCACGAAAGCGUGGGGAGCAAACAGGAUUAGAUACCCUGGUAGUCCACGCCCUAAACGAUGUCUACUAGUUGUCGGGUUUUAAUUAACUUGGUAACGCAGCUAACGCGUGAAGUAGACCGCCUGGGGAGUACGGUCGCAAGAUUAAAACUCAAAGGAAUUGAC